CCUACGGGAGGCUGCAGUGGGGAAUAUUGCACAAUGGGGGAAACCCUGAUGCAGCGACGCCGCGUGAGUGAAGAAGUAUUUCGGUAUGUAAAGCUCUAUCAGCAGGGAAGAAAAUGACGGUACCUGUUUAAGAAGCCCCGGCUAACUACGUGCCAGCAGCCGCGGUAAUACGUAGGGGGCAAGCGUUAUCCGGAUUUUCUGGGUGUAAAGGGAGCGUAGACGGCAGGACAAGUCUGGAGUGAAAUGCCGGGGCUUAACCCCGGAACUGCUGUGGAAACUGUGCAGCUAGAGUGCAGGAGAGGUAAGUGGAAUUCCUAGUGUAGCGGUGAAAUGCGUAGAUAUUAGGAGGAACACCAGUGGCGAAGGCGGCUUACUGGACUGUAACUGACGUUGAGGCUCGAAAGCGUGGGGAGCAAACAGGAUUAGAUACCCUAGUAGUC
rnacentral:rRNA from 1 species